UACAGAGGUCCCAAGCGUUGUUCGGAUUCACUGGGCGUAAAGGGUGCGUAGGUGGCUUGGUAAGUUCGAUGUGAAAUCUCCGGCUUAACCCGGAAAUGGCAUUGAAUACUAUUGAGCUGGAGGUUUGGAGGGGGACUGGAAUUCUCGGUGUAGCAGUGAAAUGCGUAGAUAUCGAGAGGAACACCAGUGGCGAAGGCGAGUCCCUGGACAACACCUGACACUGAGGCACGAAGGCUAGGGGAGCAAACAGG
rnacentral:rRNA from 1 species